CAUUUGCUCUAGUAAUAGCCCAAACCAGCUUACCAUUGAGUAAAUAUGUCAUUGUGUGCAGGUGACCUGGGUCAACCCCCUGCUCUGAUCCUAACUGCUGACCCAGACUUCAGAUUCAAAGCUGACUGAGGACAGUGUAUCAUUUAUUCCUGAACACCAGCUCCACAACUAAACAACAACCACAUUGAUGUGAGCUCCUCAUACAUCUUCAGCCAAGGCACACAGAAAAAGGAAAUGCCUGACAAACAACCCUUCUGAGUGAAGAAUGAUGGGAUCUAAUGCCAGAUACCAGAGUCCCUCCCCAGACCUCUUGGAUACAGGCUUUGAAAGUGGGUUAAAAAUGAGAGCAAAGGAUAAAAAUCACCAGAUAAAAAAUGGGCAAAGGACUUGAAUAGUCAUUUCUCCAAAGACGAUGAACAAAUGGCCAAAAAGCACAUGGAAGAUGCUCAUCAUCAUUAAUCAUUAGGGAAAUGCAAAUCAAAACACAAUGAAAUACCACCUCUGGUUGAAUCCACAGAUAUGGAACCUGCAGAAAUGGAGGGCCAA
rnacentral:lncRNA from 1 species